UGUUAAAAAUUUCAUCCCUUUAUACUGUUAAAAACUGAUGUUGCUGACAGAACAAGAAGACAAUGAUGCUUGGCAUGCCACGUGUACCUCAUAUUGACGUACAAAGACCAAUUUUUAAUAGUAGAAUUGGAUAAAAUUUUUAAAA
rfam:Gossypium arboreum cultivar AKA8401 contig_21261_1, whole genome shotgun sequence.